ACAUCCAUAGUACAUUGAUAACACUGGUUCUCAUCCAGUCACCGAAGUUAAGCAAUAUCAGACCCAGUUAGUACUUGGGAGGGUGACCACCUUUGGAACACCAGGUGCUGUAGGCC